CUAAACAUUAUGAUGAGAUGAGUAGUGUGAUUGCCACGCAAAGCGAGCCGUUGGUUGGUGUAAAACGGUCGGACAGUGAUACGAAGAUGGUCUCUAAAUGGUAUUGGUGAGCAUUAGCAAGCCAGUAACGCGUCGUACCCGUUAGCGUACUGAGUGAAUUAGCUCAUUGAGCCAAGCGUUGUGCACGCGCUUGGAAACUAAGGUGGUACCACGAUCAGCAGUCGUCCUUUUU
rfam:Lactobacillus plantarum WCFS1 complete genome